CAGAUUGUCGUGCUGUUUUUCUUGGGGGGGGUGGUGCCUCGUCAUCAGUGUCCACACCUUGAAGCAUAUUUAACUCUAAAGGUCUGCACCUUCAAAAAAGUGUUGCGGCGGGCCCGUAGUGGUCUGGACUCUUCCAGCUGGCUCCUGCAGGUAGCGUGAGUUUGGCCUUUGGAACAAAUCAAGGACAGUCAUGGCAGUCAGUGGGUAACACCAGAAAUAUUAACAGAGAACUUAUACAUUUAUGCAUUUAGCAGAUGCUUUGAGCUGAAGCGAUUUACAACAAGAGGACUAACAUUUAAGCUACAACACUAUUUAAAACCUUGCUAAGAGUGCCAAAAAGUGCCACUAGUCACCCGAACACUGUCUGAAGUUUAAGUGCAAUAGAAAGAUGGAAGAGAGUGCAUUGAAAGUUAAAAAGUGUUGGGACAAGAGUCAUUCUAGGAAGAGCUGAGUUUUCAGGAGCUUUUCGAAGGUAGUGAGGGAUGAUAAGUUGCCUGUGGAUGGUUCAGAGAACUACCUGCUAUUAGCAGCCACUUUGUCAGUAAAGAAUGAAGCAUAAGGUUCUGCUGUGAGGUUUGUAGCAAGAGGGGAAUGGUUUAGUAGAUAUUUGAAAGUAGAGAACAGUUUCCGGGUGUCAGUUGUAUUGUGAAUCUCAGUUGUAUUGUGAAUUUUUCGCUGCUGUGACAUUGUAAGCAAAAGAUGAUAAUAGUUACUGGUAUUGUGUUAAAUCUGAUAGGUUAUUAGUUUUAUGCCAUUCUCUCUCAGCAGCCCAUGAGGUUAGAGCGCAUCAAUUGAAGGGAGUCGUUUAUCCAAGGAAGGGGCUUAGAGGGUUGGGAGGGUCUGAUGGAUAGCGGGAAUGUGUGGCCCAAUUCACCUCUGGAGAGGAGAACAUUUUUUGUUUUUUACCUUUUUUUCCUUCUGAUAGGGUCUUCAGCCUCUGACUGUAUGUCUGAUGUUAAACACAGUAAGGACUUUUUCAGCUAACCAAGACCCUCACGUCACCGUGCACGUCCCACGCUGCACCUGGAGGAAGGUGGUGCGCGACUGCCUUCUGGAGGCGGAUAUGAUCAUAAGAACUAGGAGGCCAGAAACAAUUCCAUGACUCCCCUGCCUCCUCCAACCAGCUGCUUGGCACUAUGGUAGUGCUCCUAUCUUUGAAUUCGACGACCUUCCACACCUGUGCCAUCUGUCAAUGAGGUGAAUGAAAGAAAAU